rnacentral:tRNA from 1 species
UGGUGUAGCUCAGUUGGUAGAGCAUCUCAUUCGUAAUGAGAGGGUCGCGGGUUCAAGUCCCAUCAUCA